GAAUAUUGGACAAUGGGCGCAAGCCUGAUCCAGCCAUGCCGCGUGUGUGAAGAAGGCCUUCGGGUUGUAAAGCACUUUUGUACGGGAAGAAAAGCUUCGGGUUAAUACUCUGGAGUUCUGACGGUACCGUAAGAAUAAGCACCGGCUAACUUCGUGCCAGCAGCCGCGGUAAUACGAAGGGUGCAAGCGUUACUCGGAAUUACUGGGCGUAAAGCGUGCGUAGGUGGUCUGUCAAGUCCGAUGUGAAAGCCCUGGGCUCAACCUGGGAACUGCAUUGGAAACUGGCAGUCUGGAGUGCGGUAGAGGGUAGCGGAAUUCCCGGUGUAGCAGUGAAAUGCGUAGAUAUCGGGAGGAACAUCCGUGGCGAAGGCGGCUACCUGGACCAGCACUGACACUGAGGCACGAAAGCGUGGGGAGCAAACAG
rnacentral:rRNA from 1 species